CUCUCUCUUCAGUUCCAUUCCUCAGCGCUCUGUUCGUGUAUCCCCUCCUCCUCCUCCUCCUCACACCUUUUGGUCAGAAGAGGAAGAGGAAGCCCAGCCCAGGGAGAGAUGCUGAGAGGAUGAAACUCUGACACGCCGGCAGACCACAGGGAAACAAGAGCACAACUAUAAUUGCUUGGAAAGAAUCGCCCAGGAAGGUCAGCCAAGACUCCCGCUGUAGGUGCCAAAGUGAGAUCUCCAGGACUACAAUUACUUCGGCUGCAGAGCAAAGUGAAUGACAGUGACCGCGCUCACGCUGGACUCCGCCCUCUGCGCUCACCGCUGAUUUCCAACCCGCUGAACCUACGAACAGGUUGUAUCUGACGGAGGAACCGGCGCCGCGCUCCCAUCCUUUGCGCUCCUCUAACAACAACAACAACCACUAGGUCAGCGUGAGCACGGCGACAAGGGCAGCCCAACCUGACCGCUUUCUCUCGUUUCUGUGCUGGUAAACGAUCUCCCCCAGGUGGAUUGUGGGUAAAGUAAGUCCUAAUAUAUAUAUAUAUGUGUGUUUAAAAAAAAAAAAAAAAAAGGCUAUGUGUCUUUUUAUUUUUUUCUGUCUCAAGUUGAGACACUAUGGAUUCUCUAUUAAGAAAGUACGUUCAUCCAUUACCACGCACGGCUUGAUAAAGUGUCCAGAGCCAGAGGCGAGCGCAGCCUGUGCAUUAAUCGCUGUAAUUACUCAGCGAGGCUGACACUGAUUCUGGAGGUGUGUCUGACUACAUCUACCAGUAGAGGACUGGGGGGGGGGGGGCAGCAAGUGAACCCGGGUCCGUCUGAUCUGAUCUCACGUCUGCGUCGUCAAAGUUUCUCCUCGCCCUGAGGAAGACGACGACGGCGGCGUGCCGGACACUCUUUGACUGAAGCGCUGUGCUAAAUCACCACAGCAACGACUGCUUAGCAACAAAAAUGUUGACAUCAUAUAAAAAAAAAAAAAAAAAAAAAAA